ensembl:lncRNA
CAUGCCAAGGCCUUUUAUAUUUCACCCUGAAGGCAAGGAGGAAUUCCUGAAGGAUUUUCAGCAGGGAGUGAUAUGAUCACUUUUACUUUUCAUUAAGAUGUCUCCGCCAAUAAUGUGAAGAACGGGGGGCGGGAGGAUCUGUUGGGAGGCUGGGACAGUGGCCAGGCAAAAGAUGAGGUCUUGAAAUAAGGAAGUGGCUGUGGGGAUGCAGAGGAGAGAGAGAUUACAGAGACGUCAGUGGAUCGCAGUGACCGAUCUGUUUUGGGGAUGAGGGGCAAAGAAGUCUGGCUUCUGGUUUAGUGACUAAGUGUAUGUUGAUGCUGCUCCCCAGGUGGGGAGUAUAAGGAAAUCAGGGAGAGGAUGCUUGUUCAGCUGUGGCCAGGUGCAUUUCGAGGUGCCCAUGAUGGGAGCUCUUGUCAUGCUCUAUGGCUGGACCCUCCCACGGUUCACUGCACUGGACCCGAUUCUGCCACCACGCCACGAGACAGCCCUACGAUUGCCAGGGACACCCAUAAGAUUGCAGUGGCCGUCUGUCUCACGGUGUGGAAUCCAUUUUGUUUCUUUCACUUGCUCUGGGCACUGGCAGAGCAUCAGCUGAGGCUCUAAAGCCUGGUUCUGGCUUGUUUCCCCUGGGAAUCACCCUCCUGCACUUCAUUCUGCCUCCCAAGUCACUCCCACCAUGCUCCACAGUAACUGGUUCCACCAGUUUUUCUGAGCAUUCUUCUCCCUCCGCCACUCCAGCUGAAAGCUGUCUUGAUCAAAUCACCUACCCUCCAGGCACACAUGGUCUUCCCCUUCCUUGUGCAAGGCACCCCAUCCCAGCCGGGAAGCCACCAUCCCGCUAUCUGAAAUCGUGCUCCCAGCUGGUUUAUCUUUGUGGACCUAUUUGGGGUCAGUUCUGCCUGGGGCUGGCGAGUGUGGAUUAAACAUCUCAGUGGAUCUGCUCUGUUCUGAGGUCUGCCCUGACAGAAGGCACGCUCUGGUCUUUGAACAGGAAUUUAAGGAGGCUUCAUUUUGAUGUGAAUUGGAGUUCAAACUUGGCUCGAUUGUAGACUGAGCUCUGAGAAUGAAACGGCGUCGCCACACAAAGGCCGUCACAGAGAACCCAGACAAACACAAGAGAUUGCUACCAAAACACAAAAAGACCCCUCUCUGCCACUGCUGCACCGAUGAGGCAGCUCCUUGAAGAUACGGACCACAUCUUGGUCAUCCUCUGUAUCCAUAGCAGCUGGCGGAAUAACUGGCAGAAAUGCACAAACUCAAUAAACGGCCCAGGCUGGCUGAGGCUCCAUCCCCUCCCAUGCACCCAGGAUCGCAGAGGCAGGAGAGAUGGCGGACGGCUACCCGUAUGCAGGCUCUUGAAGGUCCUGUGGUUGGUGGUUCUGCGAGGUCACAGGCUGGUCCAGUCGCGUGAGGCAGCGCCGAGCAGAGCGGGAGCCGGGGCCCUUUCUUCCCCACCCAUCUGCCAGCGGGAUUGGGGCCUUUCUCUCCAGGUCUCUCUCCAUGGCCGCAGGGUGGUGGGAACGCAUGAAUGUGAUGACCAUCUAUUAUCUCCCGGCCAGCGCGUCAGCACUUAUUAAGCCAUAAAAUUAAAUCUCUUUUUCAUGUAGGAUUACUCACCAAAAACAUUUGUUUUAUUCUAGUAGGUUUUUAUAUGGCCUCGAAUUAGUGAAGGUUUUCUUUUGCUUUGUUUUUGUUUUUUAUGGCUUGAGCCUCACAAAACAAGAGAAUAGGAGAAAGGUCAAGAGGCUGCUUGUGAAAGAGAGCAAGAAGGCAGCAGGCUGUGCUCAAGGAGACUCCCAUGGAAGUCAGAGAAGGUGCAGCCUCUGUUGGUAGACAGAGUCAUCAGUAGGGCUGGGAAAAUGGACUCACGAGUAGAGAUUGUCUUGACAUCGACAAGAAAGCAUUGGACCUAAGAGCAGAGGAGGUAACAUCCCCAAGGGCCUUGGAACUUCUGUCCCCGCCCUGAGCUGAAAUGAGCUGAGGUUUCUCCAGCGCCUGGCUGAGAUGGGCAGACAACAGAAGAGCCGGCGCCACGGGAGGACCUCACUUAAAGCUUCGAAUGAAGAGGAGCCAGCUCUUUGAAGUCUGAGAUACCAGACUUCACUUUCCAGUGAUGUGGGUAAUUGUUUAAUUUCUCUGAGACUAAAUUUCCUUGUCUUUAAAAUGAGAAGAACAACCACAUCACCGAGCUGUAGGACAGUGACGUGAAGUGGCACAGGACAAGUCUGCGCUAAAAUAGGAUGUGAAUUCCCUGGCCUUUCCUCCUCUCCCCAGUGUUGAGUCAUAUUGAUUCAACUUCCCCAGCAAAUGUAUUUAGUGCAGCACUAACUACUAAGUUCUGCUAGAAAAUAAAGCCUCUGCUUGCAUUGCAGCUGUCAGGAUAAUCUGCUUGAUAAUCUAGAAGUGUUUGGAUGCACGUUUCACCCUCUGGACCGUCCUGGGAUGUCCGACUCUUUUCUCACCUGCGUUUCCUUCAGUGGUUCAGAUAUUCUCUCAAUAUUUGUGUUUGCAGAGAUCUAUCCCUGGGCCUGAAUUUCCCCCGAAGUUCUGGUGGCAUGGAUCCAAACAGCCUGCAAGCCUGUCCCCUUGGAGGGCUUGCCCUUACCUCACCAAAUGCUCUGUGUUUGUUUAUUCGCUCAACAAAUAUGCAUGGAAUGCCACCAGGUGCCAAAUCUUUUCCCAGGACCCACGGUUUUCAGCUAAAUUAGACACAGUUCAACCCUCAAGGAGCCCCCCGUUCAGGGGGAGAGAUGGAUUAUGCAAUGAUGCUGUGGCACGGGAUGUGCUAGAUUCCAGGGGCCUGGGAGGUGGAAUAGUCCAGGCUGUGCUCUCAAAGAGAGGAAAAGCAACCCAGGGACGAUGAAAAAUGCCACGUCCAAGCUGCAGAGGGCCUGGCCGUGUCAGAGGGCCGCCUGGCCUGGGGGUCCACCGCGCUGCAGGCAGAAAGUGAAGCAAUCGCAGCCUGGGAGGCCGACGGCAGGGGAGGGAACAUUCCACCAGGGCAAAGCUGGCGAGGGCUUUGGGCCCAUCCAAGAUCCAGCUCUCAUGAAAUGCAGGAAGUGUGAUGAAGAACCCCGGGCGCCUCGAGGCCUCCCACCCUGGCUUGGGAAAGGGAAGAAAGCGAGUUAGGGGAAGGUUUCGUGGGCUACAUUCCCCUGGCUUCUCAGUGAGCACACGGUGGUGUCUGCAUUUCUGCUUAAGUCAACAUUGUCACAAGACUCAGCGGCUGGGACAGUGUCCUGUGCUCAGAUAUGCUUGCCAGGCAAUGCUGGGGACCAGGACUCUGCGCCCUAGCAGCACUGCACAAACCAAUUACUGAGGAGAAUUUGUGAAAGAAUGAAUGGACUAGACACAUAAGUAAACAGAUAUGAUACCGUGGCGGUGCUCUAAAACCAAUUCCUGUUUCCAUUCGCCUUGGAAAUCACCGUUCUCACGGUUUCUCGACAACAUGAGGUAGUGAAGAAAACACCGCCUUGGGGUCACACGUGCCGGGUUAGAUCCCAGUUCUGACCUGCAGUCGCUGGGUGACUUUGGCCUCAAUGUCCUGAUCUGUAAACUGGCGGGGGUGGGGCGAGGGGGCAGGAGGAUUUACUUAGAACUGCUGUAUGAAAAGUGAAGUGCCUGGUACGUGUUGAAUGUUCGAUAAAGGGUGGUUGUUAUGACUCUUCUUACUGAGAGCCGAGCCUCUUCUCAUUCUGCAUCCGUUCACCACACAAGUCCUUUGACAUCUCUCUUCUCUGUGUUCCUCUCCCUUCCCUGCCCCAUCAGGCCCUUCUCACCAGCCUCACAACGGAAGUGCCCCGAUGGCAGCUGUGGCCUCCGCUUCUCAUCUCCCCCUAUCCCACUUUACCUGCUCAUCCCCAAAGCUGGCCCUCCUCACACACUGAAGGGGCCUCUCCCACCCAGGGACUCCUGCCACAUGGCCUUACACAUUUCUCAUGAUGGUUGCCACAUUCUGCUGGCGCUGUGGUGUCUGAGCACCUGUGGUUGACUCCGUACUGAAUCAGGCACCCAGAGUGCAGGAUCCAGGCCAUUUCUACUGGUUCCCAGUCAGUGCUUGGAAGAUUGCCCUGGAUCUGUAAGUACUCGUUAGGUAUUGACGUCACUACAAAAACCGUCAGCACAUAUUGAAUAUGUUAAGAGAUGAAGGCAAGGACCUUUACCUGCACAGUUCCCUACACUAACAUACCAAGACAGGUGAAUAAAUGUGAUCUAAGCCAAUUUCCCGUGGACCGUAUCCUCAAAUAGCAUGUAUUUAGCACCUAAGUGCCCAUGUCACUCUUCAAAGCAGGCCACCAAAACCAUAUAUUAUGGUCUUUAGUUUUCUGGAAUUUACCAUAUAAAAUGGAACCUGAUGCCACAUUCCAGGGCUAUUACAAGUCAAAUCCCAAUACAAACUCUAUGAACUUUAAGAGAUCAUAAAAGACAUCAUAACAAAGAUGACUUUCAAUAAGAGAGUUUGGCUGGCAAGGGUUUUGAAAUUUCUUGGUUUGUCAAAUAGACACUCUGUUCUAAUCUAAUUUCACUUGUGGCAUUACUACAAACUUUAUAAAUACCAAAGAUGCUGUUGGCAGGGGAGAUGGAUGGAAUUGUUGGAAAUGCCGUAGGGUGGAAAACACACUAGAGAUUAAGGAAAAAUGUACAAAGGAAAUGAGGAAAAAAAUAGACAAAGUGGGGAAGUCGAUGAGUUUUUGGUGAAAUGGUGCUCUAUUCUGUGCCUGACGUCCUUCUGCCUCUGGGUGUUUCUUUAACCAGGUCUUGACAGGCCCUAAAGAUGAGAGAGUGAUCUGAGAAAUCGGGGGAGCAGAGCAGGCUGGUUGGGGAAAUAUUUGUAGACUGCCCCCUCGUGAGUGGUUCCUAUUUUAAAGAACUCGAAAAAGCUAAGACCCGCUUAUCUAAAGAAAGAUUAACAUCAGAAAAAUGUUUUCCUUUCCUGCCAGUUCUACCUAUCUCAGUCUCUACUACUUGAGAUUUCUCUGAAUCUCAACUGAUGAUUGGCACAUAGUAGUUUCUCAAUAAAAUACUUUUGACCGGGUUAAAGUCAUGUUUCGGCUACAAGUUCUUGUCACAUCAAGUUGUGUUCCGUACAGUUGACAGUAAGAUUGGUUUCACUUUCACGAUUGUUAUGUAGCAAGACACAAGGGUUGGCUCUGUGGCAUCUGAAGAGCUGGUGAUGGAGGAGUUUCAGCAGGUCAUCGUGUAUCUCUCCCAGACAUCCGA